UACGAAGGGGGCUAGCGUUGUUCGGAAUUACUGGGCGUAAAGGGCGCGUAGGCUGUGCUGUAAGUCAGGCGUGAAAUCCCCGGGCUCAACCUGGGAAUUGCGCAUGAUACUGCGGCGCUUGAAGACGGGAGAGGAUGGCGGAAUUCCCAGUGUAGAGGUGAAAUUCGUAGAUAUCUGGAGGAACACCGGUGGCGAAGGCGGCAUCCUGGACCAACACUGACGCUGAGGAGCGAAAGCCAGGGGAGCAAACGGG
rnacentral:rRNA from 1 species